rnacentral:rRNA from 1 species
UACGUAGGCGGCUUGGAAAGUUGGGUGUGAAAUCCCUCGGCUCAACCGAGGAACUGCACUCAAAACUGCCAGGCUUGAGGGAGAUAGAGGUGAGCGGAACUCAGGGUGGAGCGGUGGAAUGCGUUGAUAUCCUGGGGAACACCAGUUGCGAAGGCGGCUCACUGGGUCUCUUCUGACGCUGAGGUACGAAAGCUAGGGGAGCGAACG